rnacentral:misc_RNA from 1 species
GAUGAAGAACGUAGCGAAAUGCACUAAGUAAUGUGAAUUGCAGAAUUCAGUGAAUCAUCGAAUCUUUGAACGCACAUUGCGCCCCCUGGAAUUCCGGGGGGCAUGCCUGUUCGAGCGUCUCAGGGACGAACCCUCGCGCGGGUGUACGCGCGGUCGUGGCUGCGGUGGCGUGCCCGAGGCGGCGGCCACCGCGCUGGAAUCCAUGGGCGGACGCCUGCCGCGUGGCCGAGCGUGAUAUGACGCAUUGGCGCUCGCACGCGGAGAGGCUGCCAGCCCUGGCCCGUCUGUCGGGCGGGGGAGAGCAAGACACGUGAACUCCUCGAAUCAGGUAGGGAUACCCGCUGAACUUAAGCAUAUCAAUAAGCGGAAGA